rnacentral:lncRNA from 1 species
GGCGGUUGGCGUUAAGGAAGUAACGGCGUCAAGUCAAGUGCGAUCGGGUAAGAAACACGCUGGGUGUUUGUUAGUUGGAUUCCGGUUUUAUCUAUAUGAUGAAAGGACGAAAAAGGGCCUGGGCUGCUAUGCUGAUUAGGUGGGACGGGCAGGUCGAGUGGGCCUUCAAAUCUGUGCUGUUUCUAAGAUAAUGCAGAGAAAUUUUUUUCAAUUAAUUAACAUCACCACUCCCAUUUCUCUCUCUCUCUCCGAGAAAUUGCAGACAACUUUGAUUUGAAGUUCUCCGUUUUCUUCUCCGGCAAAUUUCCACCGUCGUUCGCUGUUGCCCUUGUCUACGUUGCUCCCUUUCUCUCUCUCUCUCUCAAGUUGCAGCUUAAUAAGAGAUUCACAGUAACAACUUUUAUUUUCUUAGAGCCAAUUCACAGUCGUAAGAACUUACUACAAUUUAUUCAAUGGUUGUAGUCUACAUCGACAGGUGAAGCUGCAGCUGCAGCUGGGGUGGCCAGCCGCCGAAAUUCCUCAUCAUCGACGACCACUGCCAGUCCACUGAAUCGGAAGCUUGUGCAGAAGAGAGGGAGAACAAAGAGAGACAAGGGUGAAAUCAGGAGAGAGAGAGAGAUGUGGAAUUUAAAUUAAAUUUUGAUUUUUUAAAACUUAUUUUAUACUAAUUAAAACGAUAAAUUGAAUUUGGA